rnacentral:rRNA from 1 species
CAAUAGCGUAUAUUAAAGUUGUUGCAGUUAAAAAGCUCGUAGUUGGAUUUCGGGAUGGCCCGGCCGGUCUGCCGCAAGGUAUGUUACUGGCCGAGCUGUUCUUCUUCGCAAAGACUGUGUGUGCUCUUAACUGAGUGUGCUCAGGAUCUGUGACGUUUACUUUGAAAAAAUUAGAGUGUUCAAAGCAAGCCAGCGCUUGAAUACAUAAGCAUGGAAUAAUGGAAUAGGACUUUGGUUCUAUUUUGUUGGUUUCUGGAACCUUAGUAAUGAUUAAGAGAGACAGUUGGGGGCAUUCGUAUUUCGUUGUCGGAGGUGAAAUUCUUGGAUUUACGAAAGACGAACUACUGCGAAAGCAUUUGCCAAGAAUGUUUUCAUUAA